CUUCAGUAUUAUCUUUUGAUCUAUCCACUAGUUUGGGCCUGUGGCAUAUUAUGGACCUUAGUUAUUUUAUGCAGUAGAGCGAGUGGUGUAUGUCUAGCUCUAUAGUUAAUGUUGGUUAUGAUCAAAAUCAGAGGUUGUGCAUUGAAUGUUAUUGAACUGUGAAAAGUUCAUAUGUGGUUAUAACCUACUAAAAGGAAGCAUGGAUUUGCUUUAACAUCAGUUGUGCUGAAACACAUGGAGCUACAGAUGUUCUGUUUGAAAGCAGGUGAAUUAUAUGGAACAGCACCAUGUCUGGCAGUUCAGCGGAAAUGUUCCAUCUCUGAAAGGCCAGCAACACAUACCAAGAAAGGCAGACUGAACAGCUGCCAACAACCCUGCUACUGACCUAUACAGACAUGAUUAGAGCAGAUGUUUCACAAGAUGACUGGGAUUUUUUUUCUUCCUUGAGAGGGGUAUAGCUGAGCUCCAAGAGGCAACAGUAAAGAAUAAAAGGUCAGAGUACCAGGAAUCUCACGGGAUCACCUUAAAAUGGAUGGAUUUCUUCAUGCAAGAGAACGCUACACCCCAUCUUUCAAUAGUAAACCUGACUAUAAAAGAAGUCAGUGAAAUAAAAGUCGAGCUGAACAAAGCUAAACACCUUCCUUCAGCAUUCACCAAAAUAUCUGUGUAAUGGGAUUUUUGUUGAAUUUUACUUAGAUUUUGAAUGGCAAGACCAUCUCUGAUGAACUUUAGUUUAAAUUACAGAGAAAACCAGCCUUAAGAUGUUACACAAGAGGCUAUGGUGUAAUAGAGAUUGGUCUUGUAAGACAGAUGAAACAGAACUGUAGGCAAUUUGGGGAUUUUAAUGAAAGUGGCCUCCUGUAAAGUUUGUUGGGAGGGCUCACUGCUGUUUGGGGAAACUGGAGUCAGAUCAAACUCAGAUCCUAGCAGUACACUCAGGAGGGAGCUGUCUCUCAUCUAUGUGGCUCCCUCUGGUGGUCCUAAAAGGAGGAUGUGCCAGUCUA